CGAGUCGGACAUCUCUCGACAACGACAGGCUAUUCCCCAGAGGCACGCCGCAGCCUCCUGCUCCACUACUCCCUGCAACGGUUGUAUCUGGCGCUGCUCCACGAUCCCCUAUAACAGCCGUACAAGGCGGAGCUCCACUACGCCCUGUCAUGGCCGUACCCAGCGCUGCCCCACGACGCCCUGUAACGGCCGUGUCAGCGGCAGCUCCAUCGUGCCCCACGAUGUCGAACCCCCAUGAAAGACCCCCCAGCCUGGUAUAUAUGCGGCUGGGAGGAGAGGGGGGGUAAGCAAGAACUUCCAGAGCAUUCUCUUACUUGCUACUAUUAUCUCUCCUUCUCCUCCAAUCUCCUCUGACUUGAUCGUCGGAGGGCCCCCACUACCCCAGUGGUGG
rnacentral:lncRNA from 1 species